UACGUAGGGUGCAAGCGUUAAUCGAAAUUACUGGGCGUAAAGCGUGCGCAGGCGGUUCGGAAAGAAAGGUGUGAAAUCCCAGGGCUUAACCUUGGAAAUGCACUUUUAACUACCGGGCUAGAGUACGUCAGAGGGGGGUAGAAUUCCACGUGUAGCAGUGAAAUGCGUAGAGAUGUGGAGGAAUACCGAUGGCGAAGGCAGCCCCCUGGGAUGAUACUGACGCUCAUGCACGAAAGCGUGGGGAGCAAACAGG
rnacentral:rRNA from 1 species